rnacentral:rRNA from 1 species
CACUGACUAUUAGACUACCCGGUAGUCCCAGCCGUAAACUAUGCGCGUUAGGUGUAUCGGUGACCACGAGUUACCGAGGUGCCGAAGGGAAACCGUGAAACGUGCCGCCUGGGAAGUACGGUCGCAAGGCUGAAACUUAAAGGAAUUGGCGGGGGAGCACCACAACAGGUGGAGCCUGCGGUUUAAUUGGACUCAACGCCGGGAAGCUCACCGGAUAGGACAGCAGAAUGAUUGCCGGGCUGAAGACCCUGCAUGACUAGCUG